ensembl:lncRNA
GGUUUCCCCACCAAGAGGAGAACUGAAUUUACAGUGAUGAAAACACAGUACCAACAACAAGAUGUUCUUAAAAUCAGCCAUUCAUCUCAACAUGAUCAUUGUCUUCUGCCUGACCAUUAAUGUCAUGCUGGUUUCAGGUUCCUCUCUAAAUGACAAAGUUGACCAGGGUCCGGCAGACAUUUACACCUACACUGGAGAAAGAGCCAAAAUUAGCUGUUCACACAGAAUUGACAGCUAUGAUCGAAUCCUCUGGUACAAGCAAUCAAAGAAUAAUAAACUACAUUACCUGGGAUACAUGUACAAAAAUAACGCAAACCCACAGUCUGGGGUGGAUGUGAAGAUGAAUGGGAGUGCAGAUAAAGACCAAACCUGCUCAUUAACAACUGAAAAACUCAAUGUGAACAGCAGUGCGGUGUAUUUCUGUGCUGCUAGUUUACACAGUGCUACAUAUCACUUCUUCAUAGUACAAAAACCUUUCCUAUCAAAUAUUUUCAUCUCUGUAUAACAACUCAUAGCUCUGCGUCUGCGUGUCUGCUACAUAUCACUGCUCUUCAAUACAAAAGCAUCCUCACGGUUUUCACAGCUCACAGCUGCCUUAAAUAAUGUUCUUUCCUCUCAUUAGGUGGCAGCAUAUCAUUACUCAGGCUUUCAUAAAGCACCAGUGGUGUGUUAAGAGGAGGAGGAUUUACUAUGACACCACCCACCCACUUGGCUUCAUGUUACUUUUACUAAAAAAAAAAAAAGAUGCCGCAAAAAUCUGUAUAACUGCAUAUGCACUGUAGAAAAUACAAUAACUCACAGAAACCAGCCUAUGAUGGUAUAAUCUACCAUCAUAACUCCAGAGAACACAAAAUGAACUUCCUAUUUUAUUUGCUCCUUGGCCUUUCUUUCAAAAGUAUUCUAGUUUCAGGAUCCUCUCUUAGUGACCAAGUCUACCAGACUCCAGCUGUUCUGUACCACAAACCUGGAGAAAAAGCCCAAAUCACGUGUUUCCACAGCAUUGACAACUAUAACCGAAUCCUUUGGUACAAGCAAAUAAAGAACGGCCAAAUGCAGCUUCUAGGAUACAUGGUCGUAAAGGAUGGAUAUCCAGAGACUGGGGUGAAUGUAACAAUAGAUGGAAGUGCAAAUAAAGGGGACACAUGCACAUUAACUAUUGAACAACUCAACCUGAACAGCAACGCAGUGUAUUUCUGUGCUGCUAGUUUACACAGUGCUACAUAUCACUGCUUCAUAGUACAAAAACCUUUCCUAUCAAAUAUUUUCAUCUCUGUAUAACAACUCAUAGCUCCCUGCACCUGCAUGUCU